GGCAGUAUGGCACACAGAACCUUGUUUCAACUUAAAACAGAAGUCAUUUUUAGUGGUGAAAAUACCUCAGUGUGGCACUCCUUUCUGGGUUGAGACAUGGAGACGUCUGAGGAGGUAGCUAAGUCUGACAGUAGACUGGAAUAUUAGCUUCUUGAUUAGUAGUACCAAUCCAUUUCAUAAAGGUUACUCACCAGUUUGAAACCAAUUCAACAGAAUGUAAUACACAGGGAUAGCUUUUCUGCAGAUGCUUUGAUCUCUGAUAGCAUUUUCCAGUGAUUCAGCCAAGCGUUUUGAGACAAGGGGAAACUACGAUUAGGUCACCUAAUGGCUGUGGUUUUGCUUUUAGUGAAAAACUCUGCCUGAAAAAGAAUAAGAAAACAUCUCUGGAAGACAGCUUGAUGUGCUGUGGGACCUGGGACUCGGAAAUACCUUAAUUAAGCUGAAAUUGAUACUGUGUCACAAUGGGGUAGAGCUGUGGGACAUAAACAACCUGACCUCCGAGAAGAAUAUCGAGUGCAUCUUCGUGAUGCUUUGUCCGACUUCUUGUGAUAGUCACCAGAUCUCUCCAUCAUCACAGAACAAAUCUGCAGCUUCACAGACACAUCUUGAGUAAUCCCAACUUGAGCUGUCUGGGGAGAAAGGUGAAAUGCUUAUAGUUUGUUUAUGAUGUGAAGAGUUCUUGAGGUAUGUCAGAAGAAAAUUGUCCUAAUAGUUGUCUAUCGUUUUUUUUCCCCUUGAAUUGCUCAUUGAACACGCGUAGUGUGUUGUAUGCUUGGGUUUUUUUGGUUGGCUGUCAGCAGUAGUACUUUGAAAGCCAUCUUUAUUUUCAUAAUUAAAAGCUGCUUUUUCUUUUUUUCAGUGACACAGUUGAACAAACAAUUGGAUGGAUGGUUGCUCCUGCUGAAGGGCUCUCACAGGGGAGCAGGAAUGGCUCUCUGCAUUGGCUGCUGGGGCUUCCGCUCCCAGCCUUCCUUCAUCAGUCUGUCUUGAAUCAUUAUGAUUUGCAGAGCAUCAUUUGAAAGGAAUCUGAAAUAGGUUUUCACAUGUUGAUCACAUCUCUGAGAGCUUCAUAUGUCUCUGCAUCCGUUGAGUGUUUUUAAAAAACAGAGAAGCUCCACGGAUCUGUCACCCCAUCCUGAAAUAAGAGGCAGUCAAAAGCUGAUUAAGAGUGCAUCUCUUCUUGCUCCAACGUAAACCUGUGUGAGAGGGAGGCCAGGCUGACAGCCUGCAGGCUCUGUGCUCCGGGGCAGAGACACGGGUUGGUAUCAGGAUGAAGUUGCUCAAGCUUUGGUGAAGUUGCUCAAGUUCUGACCCAGAUACCAGCUGUCCACGACAGUUCCUGACCUGUGGAGCUCUCGAAGGAGGAGCACGGGGCAGACAUUAGGAGGUAGGUGCAGCACCUCUCCAUUUUGUACGUGAGGUUUUUGAGCAACACACUUGCCAAAGGUUUUGUGAAGAAUCUGCAGAACUAGGAAUUCAGUAGCCCUUGCCCAUCUCUCACGCUGGUGCCAGAGGCAGACAGGUAGUUUGCUAAAUGCUUCAGCCCAACUCCUCGAAAUUAUGCCUGCAUUCUCACUGAAACCAGCAAGUUCUUCAGUUUAGAAUGCAUUUAUUUUUAAACUGUAGAGGCAGAGCCUACAUGUUUGGACAAACUAGCGCCAGAGCAUUGAGUGCCUUGUAGAUUCUUAGCCCUAACUGACUGCUCGCUGAAAGCACCGCCUCAGCCUCCUGUAGCCUCCCUGACAGAGUGCAUAGUGCCUUUUUUCAGCCUGACCUUGCCCUUUUUAGCUUAAAUCAAUAGCAAAGACAAAGAUAGAGUGCAAAGGGAAAGAAUUCAGAAUGAACAGUGCUCACUAAAUAGACAAUCCACAUGUGAAAUGUAGGAUUUUAAAUGCAAAUGCCUUCAUCUUGUCUUAUCAGAGCCAAUUGGUUUAGCCUCUGUGCUACACAGGUUGAAUCUAAAUGUUGCAUGGAUAACUCUGAGCUGACACCAGUAUUUAUGCAGGACAGCUGAUGAUGCAAUGUUGUAGUUGGCUUCAAGGAAAGGUCUUACCCCAGGCAGAAUGGAGUCCAUCUCCACCAAGGUUUUACUUUCUCAUCAUUAUUUCUCUCCUGUAUGAAGUGUAGACAUUAAGCACUGAGCUUGGCACCACAGCACAGUGGAGCAGGAAGUCAUGGGGAUUUCCCUGAUAGCCCCAAGGUCACAGUAAUGAACAUGCAGCAACUUGGGAAAAAAGCAGCACACAGGAGAAUGCCAGAAGGUCCUGUCACCUGGCUGACCUGCAACCUGGUUUGUAAGGUAAGGGAUGAGAAUGUCCUGUUAACAACAUGCUUCAAUCCCCCUUCUUACAAUGAAGUUGAGCAAAGCAUUGGUUUUUCUGGGAGGUCUAGUAGGUAGAAAGCAUUCCAGUUUCCACAGGUUGACUUUGCUUAGUGGAAGAAUAUGUGACUACCCAAAGGAGCUUUCUCCUUACCCUAGAGAAUGCAUUUCUUCCCUCUUCUGUCAUAUCAGCAACCUUGCUCUUUCACCCUCCAGAGAACUGUUUUGUCUUUGCUUUCAGUAGGGUUAGUUUUCAGGCAAGUAAGUAGGCUGGUUUGACCCUGUAAAACUCCAUUCCCAAAGCGUGGGAGUGAUGGAGACAACAAAAGCAAGGGAACAGGAGUUGUAGGGCAGACCCACCUCUUUUUGGUGUAAUUCGGUUUUAGCUUUGAGUUUUAGCAGUUGUGAAAGCUCAUGAAAAGCAGCCUUUUCUGCUUGGGAUGAAUGAAAGCCUCACAGGUGUAAGCAUGGGGAUUUAAUUGCAGCAUUCACCCAGCCCAGUUCUUCUCUUCCAGUCUGACAUGUGGCUGCCUCAUGUGAUGUCUCUUGGCAUUGCAGAGAUAUAGCAUCACCCACGGCUCUUGCAGCAGCAGCUGUUUCUUUGAGCCUGUCAGCCUCCUCCAGUGGCUGGAGUAGCAGUGAAUUUCUGCAGAUGCACAGUACUGCAUCGCCACAGUCCCAGUGAAGCCACCGAGUUUCAUAGAAGUCUAUGAAUGAGAGCAGCUAUCCAGUCAAGAAGGUAUUCUCUACAUUGCAGGUUAAAUGGCCAUCUUUCCUUCCAGAGGUGUGUGUAUAGAAGACGUUCCUGGUUUUUAUGACAGUGCUAUGAAGAAUGUCGGUCGUUCUGAGUUGUCCUUUGCACUGCAUCACUGUUCUGUGCUUUGGAAGUGGUUGUAGGGCUGGCUCAAGCUCUGUCGGCUGUGCCUGGGGUUAAAGCAGGUGCUUUGGCCCUCAGAACCCAGCCUGGCAAGAUGGGGGCAGAUAGGCAGGAUUUCCCCUCUGUUGUUCCCUUUGGGUUCCAGAACUUCCAAACAAGACUAGGAGAGGGGAAGGGAGACCGAGGAUAUCUGAGCAUCUUCUCAGGCCAGUUACACACACGACAAUUACCUCAGUGUAAACAACCCAUCGUACCGGGAUGGGGAGAGCCUUUUGAGCCUGAGGAGGGUGCUUUGAAGUGCCUCUGCUCAGGGAGUGUCUGUUAAUGCAGGGAAUUGCACCGGCCGCAGCCCUGGGCUGCGCUGAACGGAAUUGGGCUGCGGUGCCUAUUGAGCUGGAUGGGAUGGCUGUUAGGUGCCCUCGGUAUGACAAAGCGGUCGUUAACAUUCCACCAACUAUGGGGCAGUAACCAGUAGCAACGCUUGCCUGUCUCGGCCAGCCCAGCUUGCUGCCGCUAGCGGUACCGUAAGGGGAUUUGUCUCUUGUACCUGCUGAAAUUCCACUUUCCUAGCGGUAUCUGCACGAUUUCUCGCAUGUUCUGUGGAAGAAUCCUAGCAAGGCACACCGAGGUUAAUAUAAAUGUAUCUAUCUCUCAGCAGGGAGGAAGAUUAUGUCAAUUUAGGCUAAUAGCUGCCAAAUGAUAGACACACAGAUGCUGUUAAAUUGGUUUAAUUCCCGUUGGCCGGCCCUGACAAUUGGGAGCAAAGAUAAAUAUACACAAAGCAUUCAAAGCUCGGGGUGUUAUGAUGCUAAUUGAAAAGUCACCAAAGGAAGCCCUCACGGUCUGUGGGAACCUCGGUGCACAGGAUUAGCGGCUAAUUAGUGGCUAGGAGCUAUUUCACCCCGAGCACAGGCACCUCUGCCCGUGCAAUCAGUUCUUGCCCUUGAUACCAGCAAUAAAGAAACUGCUGUGGGCAGCAGGCAGUGUGAUGGUAGGAAGAUAACAUAGUGUUAGCAGUGUAACGAGCUCUCCCAUAAUGCACAGAAGCAAUGUCAAAGAUGCUUGCUGUGUCUUGAGCCACAGCAAACAUAAAGGCAUUUGAGGCCUGAGCUCUUUUUCCCCUCGCUUUUUAACACAUGCACAAGUUUAUGUGACUUUUUACCUCUUUCAUGUCAUGUUUGCAGCAGAUGAGGGAACACGCUCUGCAGACCCUGAGCCUCAACCUCUACUUUGGACUCUGCAGUGAGUGCGCACUCGCACGGUGCUUUAGAAUCAUGACAUUUAAAAAAUAUAUAAUCUGUCAGCAUCCCGGUAUUUCCCUCUCAAUUUGUUCCUUGGUGUACAACUGAAGAAUCAAAGAGUUCUUCAAAUAAUGUGCCUGUGUUAUGUGAACCCAAGGGCUCGGCCUGUGGAAAAAGAAAGAUUUGCAAAAUGGUACAAAUCAGUGCAUCACUGCCAGCACUGAACUAAUCAGGGCUUUGUUUAAUGAGGGGUGCAUCUAUUUUGCUCAGUUAUUUCCCGCUGGUGAGAAUCCUUCAUUUAUACUUUCAUUUGGGAAUGCUGGUUUUGGAACUCUCUGGAAGGGCAUGUUUCCUUGUCCUCACAUUUACUUUUUCAAAUCUGAAACAACAGUUUAAAGCUGUGUUUACAGUUACACACCCUCUCAAUUAAAUCAACCAGUAUUGCACUUCACAAAGACACCAAGCAGCAAUGGCAGGAAGGUUCACUUGUAAGCUUUAGAGGAGCUAGAAAGCUUUUUUUCCUGUGUUGCCAGCUCUGACUAAUGCUGUUCUGCACAAGCUGAAGUCAGAAGCAGGUAAUGUGAAGAACCCGUGCUGGUAGGCAUUGACCUGCAGCGCAUGGGCUGGUGGCUUAAGUCUGCUCUUCUGGCAAUCAGCAGAUGGGCGCUUGUAGCCUGGUUUCCUUAAUCCUCUGGUUGACCAGCCCUCCAGACAGCUAACUCUCUUCUCCAGCUGCUGAGAAAAAGCUAAAUCAUGGAAUCAUUUAGGUUGGAAGGGACCACUGCGAUCAUCCAGUCCAACUGCCAGCCCAUCCCCCCAUGCCUGCUGACCACGUGCUUCAGUGCCACAUCUCCAUGGUUCUUCAACACUUUCAGGGACAGUGACUCCACCACCUCCCUGGGCAGCCACUGUCUCACCACUCUUUCUGAGAAGAAAUUUGUCUUUAUAUCCAAUCUGGACCCCUACUCCCCAGUACAACUUAAGGCCAUUACCUCUUGUCCUGUCACUAUUACAUGGGAUCCCUAGCAGCUAUGUUGUAGAACUGGUGAUCUGGGAAGAGGAUUGUGAAAAGCGAACAGACUUGUAGGCACAGAAGUUCUUCUAUAGGUCUGAAAGAAACCUCAGAUUUCAAGCUAUUUUGCCCCCUCACAAAAUCCUUAGGGAAAAGAGAGACAACAGCCCCAGGCAGCCACCUCUGCUGUGGAUAAGCUGCCUGGCUUGCAGGGCAGCCCAGAGAACCCAGCUGCUCUAGGAGUCCUAAUAGCCUUUGUGGAGCAACAGAUUGCUGAAAUCAUGCUCAUCGUUCAGUACGUUUGUCAAAAUAGAAAUGAGAUACACAGGAAUAACAUUUUUUGGCCAAGGUAUUUCUAACUGAUUCUAGGUGGGUAUUAGUAAUAAUACAGCUGUCAGCUUUCACACAGUGUUUUUUAAGCAGCAGUGCGUUGUAUCUUUUAAGGUAUCUUCCCUUUUAUUUUAAGCAAAAUACCUUUGGGAACCAUUAGUAAUGGUUUCAGGCACUGCUGGACAGUAGUAGCGUGAAGAUACAGAGUGCAGCAACCCAUACAGCGUAGGAAGCCAGUGACAGGGCUGCAGGCUGGAAAGGCACUCUGUGCCAGAGCCUGGCAAGAAGCAACGAGCAGAUCAGACAGCUGCUUACCUGCUGUGAGUUGAAAAGAAGGAGAAUCCCAAGUCAAGAAAAGGAGAGAACCAUAGAGAAGAAACUGCAGAGGAGUUCCUAAUUUCUAUAGGAAUCUGUGCAUGACACACUGGGUCUGCAGGAGCCCAGAGCUCAACUCAGCGCCUUGAAACCCAGUACCACAGCUGUAACUCUCAGGAUCUCUUCUGAGCAAAUCUCGUGCCAUUUAGGGAAGGUGCUGGGCUGAGCUGAAGCUGUGCAAAUGCAGCUGUUCUCAUAUCAGCUAAGAAAAAAUAAAAAUCAGUUUAAAGCAUUAGCCUGUUCCAAAAAAACAGUGCUAAACUUCAUUCCAGAGCUGCUGUUAAGUUGAAAAAUAUAUAAGUGCAUCUUCAAAUAAAGUGUAAAAAACCAUUUGCUUUUCUAGUGGUCUAAUGACUGCUUUUGCCAGGUUACUUCCAAAGUAGAAUUCACCUACAGUCUGAGGCAACGCCUGGGAGAUCCGAGCAUUCUGGUAUAACUGGGAUAAAGUUGAGCUGAGAGACAGGUCAGAAUCAGGUGUACCAUGGAGGUACUGCGGCCUUUUUGGGGGAAGAUUGCCAUCUUGCUGGGAAGAUCAUGUUUCUGUUAUUACCAGUAACAACUGGUUUCUACCAUUUACUCUCCCCUCUUUCUUUGUCAGGUAGGCCCUGACAGCUGAGGGUCUCAACGCACCAUGCAGGUGAAGCUGUCACAUUACGGGCUCAGAAACGCCGUCAGGUAGUAUCAGGUGUUUUGUACUUGACAAGCAAGCCAUUGUGUGACUGUAGAAGCCACAUCCUUCUUCCUGGUCUCUGUAGUUCCACCUGCAGAGUUAGAGUAGUGUGUCCCAUCUUCUCAGCCAGACGAGACACGGACAGUAAGUACUACUAGUUACUUGCACAUUACUGAUCUGUUUUUAUUUAUCCACACAGUCUUUCAUUGUAACCUUUAUUUCACAAAGAUGACAAAGCAUUUUUUUUCAUUUUCAAUAAAAAUGAUGUAUUUUUUACUUAUA